AUGAUGCAGCCCGAGACCGGUCCCACCUUUGAAGGCGCACCCACCAUGGCUAACAGUUCAUUGGCGUACAGGUCUUGGUGUGAUACUUGUCUCGGCAAUCCACUGAAUACGGCCUUUAGUCGAGAUGAGGCAUUAACCAUGGCGGGCAGGUCCUCGACGUAUAGGUCUUGGUGCACACAGGUCCAUGGUGUCGCCGGCGUACAGGUCACCCUUAUAUGUAGCACCUGCCAAGGCGAUGCGACCUCUACGACGCCACAGUUCGUCAACCCUGUGAGUCGGCACCCUUGUCCUAGCAGAACAAUCAAGACGGCGUCCAGCUGA
rnacentral:rRNA from 1 species